rnacentral:rRNA from 1 species
UUAGUGGCGGACGGGUGAGUAACGCGUGGGCAACCUGCCCCAUACCGGGGAUACCACCUGGAAACAGGUGCUAAUACCGCAUAAGCGCACGGGAGCGCAUGCUCCUGUGUGAAAAACUCCGGUGGUAUGGGAUGGACCCGCGUCUGAUUAGCCAGUUGGCAGGGUAACGGCCUACCAAAGCGACGAUCAGUAGCCGGCUGAGAGGGUGGACGGCCACAUUGGGACUGAGACACGGCCCAAACUCCUACGGGAGGCAGCAG